CUAUGAUCAAUUUUCUAUAUUUUACAAGGUUAAAAAAAAAUGAAUAAAAUUCUUAAGUUUGUUUAUACUAUAAUACUUUUUGUUUCCCUAUUUCUUGCCGUAGUAAAAGUUGGGGGAAAGUGUAUUUUUGAUAUGCAUUGUGCCCAUAUUUUGUGUAACCCCGAACAACACAAGGUUUGCAUUCUAGGCAAAUGUUAUUGUAUCAACAGUGAAUUUUAUUGGAUAGGGUGAAUAAUGGAGCAAAGAAUCAAGAGCAUGCAAGAAAUGAUAGAAGAAAUUUUGAUGUAGUGUUAAAAGUUAAAACCUACGAUUUAGAGUUUUUUUGAUGUGUAAUUUCUUGUUAUUUUUUCUAUAAUCUUGACCAACAAUUGGAUAAUUUUCCUUUGAUUUCUAUAUAUCAUUUGUGGUGAAUUUACCAUAAGAUUUUUCUU